UACGUAGGGACCAAGCGUUGUUCGGAUUUACUGGGCGUAAAGGGCGCGUAGGCGGCUUAACAAGUCACUUGUGAAAUCUCCGGCUUAACUCGGAACGGCCAAGUGAAACUGUCAAGCUAGAGUGCAGAAGGGCAAUCGGAAUUCUUGGUGUAGCGGUGAAAUGCGUAGAUAUCAAGAGGAACACCUGAGGUGAAGACGGUGCUGGCUGACACUGACGCUGAGGCGCGAAGCCAGGGAGCAACGG
rnacentral:rRNA from 1 species